GGCCCCGCGCAGGGAGAGACCGGCCAGGAGCCGGCGCCGAAGGAGCAACCGCCCCGGAAACUCUCAGGCACAAAGGACCGGCGCGGGACG
rnacentral:ncRNA from 2 species